rnacentral:tRNA from 1 species
GCCCGGAUGGCGGAACUGGUAGACGCGCUGGUCUCAAACACCAGUAGUAGCAAUACUGUGUGGGUUCAAGUCCCACUCCGGGUACAA